CCUACGGGUGUCAGCAGUGAGGAAUAUUGGUCAAUGGGCGGAAGCCUGAACCAGCGAAGUCGCGUGAGGGAUUAAGGUCCUGCGGGUUGUAAACCCCUUUUGCCGGGGAGCAGAGGUCCGGUCGUGUCCGGGCCGGGAGCGUACCCGGAGGAAAAGCAUCGGCGAACUCCGUGCCAGCAGCCGCGGUAAUACGGAGGAGGCGAGCGUUAUUCGGAUGUAUUGGGUGUAAAGGGUGCGUAGGCGGGCAUUUAAGCCGGCGGUCAAAUGUCGGGGCUCAAUCCCGGCCUGCCGUCGAAACUGGAUGCCUUGAGUGGGCGAGAGGUAUGCGGAAUGCGUGGUGUAGCGGUGAAAUGCGUAGAUAUCACGCGGAACCCCGGUGGCGAAGGCAGCAUACCGGCGCCCUACUGACGCUGAGGCACGAAAGUGCGGGUAUCAAACAGGAUUAGAUACCCCAGUAGUC
rnacentral:rRNA from 1 species